rnacentral:lncRNA from 1 species
UGACAUUGAGUGAAAAGUAUUAAGAAGGUUUAUAACAUUCAUCAAAUGUGGAAAGUUGUGAUGUCUUGGAUAAGACAAAGACCAACUAGGACCAAUUUAUGAAGUGUUUUGAUAAAAACUACACUAACUCUUGAAUAUUUGUUUGUCAAGAAAUGUUUAUUGACAAGAGAAUCUUAUAUGUCAAGGAGUCAGUGGGAGUCUUAAUGGUCUUGAAAGGUUUCAAGAACAAAUCAAAUAAACCUUAUCGAUCAUCACUAGCACACGAGUUGAGGUUUACAACCUAUCGUGUUGACAUUAUUUUGUUUCUGUGCCAAUCCAAUCGAGUUAAUUAUGCAUGUGAGUUCUAUGAGUUCUCAUUUUGAACGCAUAAAAGGCAAAGCACCUUAAUCAAUGAAAGGUACAUUGAUAGGAAAGGGUGAGCUGCUUAACUACUUGGAAGACAUGGUGGGCAGCUGUGCUACCAUAAGGCAAGAAAUCAAGAUUAAGAAAGUUCGGUCCAUAUGAGUUUGAAUUUGUCGUAAACUUUGGUUUUAACAAAUUCACAUGGAUAGGAACACAUACACCGUUUAAAUCUAAGUGUCAUAAGAUUUCCUCCUUCAUGAAAAUGAUUGUGAGGAAAUGCUUUCACUAAGAAAGAUUUUAAGAAGAUAGUGAUUGUAAAAUUGCAUUCUCGAAUUCGAUUAUGGUUACGGUAUCCCUUUCCAUAAUUUGAAUUGUGAGGUUUGGCAAUUAGUCUUAAUUGUUUAGACACACAUAUGAACUAUCGAAGGCAAAGGUGUAUAAGUUCAAGAAGCCUUGAUAAAAGAUUAUCAAAGCACUAAGUAUUAGAAACAUGAACUUAAGAAAUUCAAUAAGUAUUGUUUUUCUGAAAGUUAAGAUGUUUAUGAAUACAUGUCGAAGCUAGUGGGAGCAUAAGUGUUAUGUUUUAUAAUAAUCAUCAUGAUAGUGGGAGCAUAAAUGUUAUGAUUGUAUGAUUAUUAAGGCACGUAUUGCAAGUUGGCAAUAUUAAUUAUAGAAAACAAGAGUUAUACCUUGCAAAGUCGUAAGGGUUGUAAAGUUGUUUUGCUAUAAUUAAGGGAGAGAAUAUUAUGCUUCAUUUCAAAUCUAAAGGAUUAGGUUGAGAAAUGUUAAUAAAUUUAGUCAAAGGUACAUAGUGUGUUCUUAAAAUUUCGAUUAUGAUUACGACAUUCCUCUUCACAAUUCGAAUUUUGAGAACAUAGCAAAUAAAACAUUAUGCGUCGUGUCCCAUACGCUUCGGGUAUAGGAUCGAUUGCAAAUGCUUUAAUGUUUGACCAUUCUAAAAUUUUCCAAAUGUCGAGCGCAUUUAGAGGGAAAAGGGACUAGAAUUGGUUUUGACUAAAAUAAUUAAACAACUAUCAAAGGACAAUCCAAAGUUCGACGAGGAUUGGUCGCUUGUGAGUAGUUGGAAGCAUGGUAUUGGAUGGACCAUAUCGACAUUAUUAUGAAUAGAAAAGAUUCUAUUAAGAAUGAGUUGUCAUAUGGAAAUUAUGGAAAUGUUUCCAUAUUGGAUGGACCAUAUCGACAUUAUUACGAAUAGAUAAGAUUCUAUUAAGAAUGAGUUGUCAUAUGGAAAAUAUGGAAGCGUGUCCAUAUUGGGAAUUGAAUAUUGAAAAUCUAUGUCUAGAUUAGAAACUUUUAUGCAAAAGGAUGUUCAAAGGAAUGUACUUUGAGUGAGAGACAUCAUAUCUAAGGAAUUGUCUUGUAACAAUCUCCGAUAGAGGACUUUGUAAUAUCAUUGGCAAUAGUCUUUGUGACUUUGGUGCAGUGACAUUACGAAAGGAUCAUUGCAUAGAAUGUUAGAAUCUAGCAUAUUCUAUAAGUAGCAAGAAUUUGAUAUUCUUUCACUUAUGAAAAAGGAUUUGGAGUUGUGAAAUGAGAAUGAUUGGAAAUGUGUUCAAUUUGAUCUAUUUCACAAAGUAAGAACCAUAGGUAAACAUUGUGUGCAUGCUAGGAGCAUGGGACAAGUGUUGUAAUUCAAGUAAGAAGUUGAUUACCCGAAACGACAAAUAAUGAGUAAUCAAUAUGGUGAUAAAUAAAAGGUGUUUUAUUUAUACUCAAAGGUUUGAGGCCAUAUGGGAUUAGUAUUAUUCUUGUGUUUCACAUUUGCAUGUUUUGACUUCCAGAAUAAUUGAGUUUAUUAAGAAUAAUCGAAUUAUUCGAACGGGCCACAGUCGUUCAUAUGUUGGAAGUAGAUAUGAAUGAAGACUGUCGUGAAUUGGUGUGUGGAUUGUCUAAAAGAGUAUUAGACAUAAGCAAAUGUUUGCUGCAACGUUCAUGAGUGCUUAUGAAUAUGAUUUGAGCAUUGGAUUAAACCCACGCUCACUUGGAUCACUCCAUGAAUUGUAUCACGAGUGAUUGGUGAGACGAUAACAUCUUAUAUUCUUGAAACCGAGAUGUGUGAGUUGUAUCUUGCAAAUCGGUUGCACAUUGAUAAUAUGUAAACGCACUAGUAACUUGGUGUUAUAAAACAUAUUGUUGUGUGUGAUUCGGUGAGUGAGUGCAAGCAAGCAUUGUAUCAAAGUUUAUCCGUUCCUUUUAUCCAAAGUAGGAUAAAAGCGAUAUCUUUGGGCCCCUCGAUGAUUUAGUGAUGACAAACGUAAAUGCUCGGCCGGGCUAGGGCUAAUUUGAUUUGUUCAAUUAGUCAGUCGUCAUAAAUCGGAAAUCGAGAUAUAGUACAAAGAGAAUGAUUUGAAAUCAUAUCUCAUAUGAUAUCUAGAAUGGAGGAAUAUAUGAUCCCUUAUCUAAGGACACGCGUAUCUGAUAGGAUCAGAGUUGACAGCGGCUUUGGAAAGCUACGAUUGCAGAUCAGGAUCUGAAGUCAUACGCAUAAUAGUUAUUAGACUUAUCCAAGUGGGAGACUGUUGGAUUAGUGUCUAAGUCCAUAACUAUUUUGGUAUGUACUUGACCCGAUGGUGCAUGGUCCUUUUGGGUUGCCUUCACCAAAGCAACUUGAUAGGAUGAAUUAUGGAGAGAAAGGAUUAAAUAUGAUUUAUUAAUAUAUUAUGAGAAUAAUAUAUUAAAGGAGAAAUCAUAUUGUUUAAUUAAUAUUAGUCAAGAAUUAAUUGGUAAUUAGUUUUGUGACUAAAAGAGAUUAAUUAAACUUAAGGGACUGGAAUUGUAAUUAUAAGAUAAUUGCAAUUUGGGCCAUGGAUUGCCUUAUAUUAUAAGGUGGACGAAUUCUAUGGGGGAAGCCCAUAUGAAAUCGUCCAAGGCCUUAAGGAAAGGGCUCCAUGGGUUGCUUAGGGCUUAAGCAUCCAAAUUAGGGUUUCCUUGUUAGAUAACCCUAAUAGCCUCACUAUAUAUAGAACCCUUAAGGCUCAAAAACGUGGGGAACUUCUUUUCUAGGGUUAGAACACGUUUUGGGCAGCCUCCAUCCUCUCUCCUCUUCAUCCUCUUGCUUAUGGUGUUUGUGAGCCAUUAGAGGAGUGACACUUGUGACUCUAAGCCUUCCAAAGUCAAUUCAAGGAGGAAUUGGGAUUGUUAUUGCUACAUAACAAUCAAGGUAAUAUCAUAAACCUAAUUAUAUGUUAAUAUUGAUUUCCAUAUGCUAGAAUUAGGGUUUAUAGUCUUGGAUUCAAAGCAUGUACAAUAGAGAAACCUAGAUCCAAGCAUUAGGGUUUGUAUGAGCACAUAGGAUGUCUUAUGACCAAAACCCAUCAGUGGUAUCAGAGCCUAGAUUGGUUUCUAUUGUAUUGAUGCUUGAUAUGUUUGAAAAUUUCGAUUUUUUGGUUUCUGGAGGCUGGACUCGCCGAGUCCAUGGCUGAACUCGCCGAGUCCAUGCAGACUCGACGAGUCCAAGCCUGACUCGACGAGUCAACUCGUCAGAUGGAGGGUAUUUCGCGAUUUCUUGCUGUUUUUGCUUAUGGAUAGUUACCUUAUCAUAUUAGAUCAAUAUAAAUCCGAUUUUUUGAUAUAUAUGACUAUAUUUUUGAUCUAAUUGAAGAUAUUUAUCAAUUAAUAAGAUAAUUGUUUCCUUAUGUGAUAAUUGAUUAAUUAUUUUGACUAAAUUGAUAAAUUGUUUUGCAAGAAAUCAUUAAAUAAAUCAAAUAUGGAUAAUUAUGUGAUUAAAUGUUAAUUUAGAUUAUUUGUUAUUUGAUCCUUGUUGUUAUGAAAAGUUUCAUAUUUUCCCCUUUAGGUUUUAUAGUUUAAAUUUGAACCCAAAAGUUUUGUUGUUUUGAAAUUUAAAUAGUUAAAACCCUAAUGUUUUGAAAAAGGUUUCAAAACUUGCCCUCAAGUUUUGGAAUUUAAAUUUUGAUUAAAUGGUUUAAUUUUGAUGUAUAUUUAAAUUCUAAACCCUAAUGUGUUGAAAUGUUUCAAAACUUGCCCUCAAGUUUUGGAAUUUAAAAGUUGAUUAAAAGUUUAAUUAGGAAUGUUAAAUUCUAAAACUCUAGUAUAGUUUUGAAAAAGUUCAAAUCACACCCUUAUGGUUUUAUUAAUUAAUUAAGGUGUAUAAUUAAAAGAGGUUUAAUAAAUCCAUAAAAGUUUAGGUUUACAAUUUAAUUGAAUUAAAAGUAUAAUUGUUAAAUUAGACCACCUAGUAUUUUAAAAGUAUAAAAUACACCCUAUACUAUAUAUAACAUUAAAAGUCUAACAUUAUAUAUAUGUAUGAGUAAAAGUCAGUCUUACCGUUAGUAGGCCUCAUUCACGAAGCUGGUCUAUAAGGGGUGUUUAAGGAAAUUGCCUAUAAAAUGGCGAUUGAAUGGGUAUCCACUCUUACCCACCGCACUCUUGACUAGUGGAGGGUCGUUAGCCGAACGGGUAGGAUAGGACGAAACCUUCCAUUAUAAGUAUAAUGAAUUAUUAAAGUAACUAAAUGUUUUCAUAAAAUUCCCAAUCUUAGUUACUUAGGCAAAAGUGAAUUGAUGCAAUUCCAUGAAAUUACACUUUGUGCCCUUGCGAAGACGUUAGUGGAGCGUGUGUGGUUUACCGGCACACUAAAUGGUUCUAAGCAAAGGUAGCAAAGGGUGACUCAAUGUUUGUCAUAGUUCGGUGGAGCGUGUGUGGUUUACCGGCACAUCGAAUAGGUGACUGUAACAUGUGAGGGCACCAUGUAAGUUUGCAUGGUUAUUCACACCCGCUUUGUGAUCCUCGGCAUCCCAGUCACAAACAAGAGGGGCAUAUCGAGAUUUAAACAUGCCAUUGAAAGUUCAAUGAAUCUCAAAGGAUCUAGGAGUUUUCAUAGAUUUAAAACUUAAAUUUCUUUUUCGUUUUUCAUGGUGGAAAUUAGUGAAUCGUCAUUCACUUACCUUCAAAUAUUCUGCAAUUAGGGUUACGGCAUCCCUCUCCCGAGUUGUAGAAUAUUGUGUUGGGUCCUAGCCUUAGUAUCUCAUUUGGGUGAUUUACUAAGGACUCAAUCAAUCAACUAACUUGAAUUCGUUUUCUCCCGUUUUGUAGAUGUCAAAGUUCGACAACUAUGGUCUUCCCAAAUCCCGUGGAACAAGCAUUCCACAUGAAGAUGAUAUUCCACGAUUCGAUCGAGGAACAAGAAAUCAUGCUUCACUUCCUCCUCCUCCUCCAAUUAUUCUCCCUAACCCACAAGUUCAAAGGCUUGAAAAGUUCAAGAUCACUCAAGCCCUUUUGGCAAGUAAACAUAAAGAAGGAAAGUCGGUGUGUGCACACGUCCUAGGGAUGAAGUCACACAUUGAUAGGUUAAGAAUGUUGGGAUCCGUUGUCUGUGAGGAAAUGGCUGUUGAUUGGGUUCUUCAGUCACUUCCUAACUCAUAUAGUGAGUUCGUAAGAGAGUACUAUAUGAUGAACCGCGACGUGACCCUUAUAGAUCUCACCUAUAUGCUUAUUGCUGCUGAAUCAGCAAUGGUUUGGCGCAAUAGAAAAGCAAAGUUGAUUGGUGAAUCUGCCUUCAAGACCUCUAUGGAUAUAGACAAUGGCAACGAAAGACAUGCUAUGAUCGAAAAGUUUGAUCAUAAGAGAAAGGCAAUGUCUGAAGUAGUUCCAUGUCAUGUUCCAAAAGAGUCAAUUUGCUUUUAUUGCCAAGAGAAAGGGCAUUGGAGACGAAGCUGCCCCAUUUACCUAAGAGAUCUAAGAGAUGGGAGAGUCGAAACGUAUGGCUCUAAUAUAGGUAAAAUCCAUUAACUAACUCUUUUAAGCUUCUAUUCUAGAUUCUUAAUACAUAAUGUGAUAAGAUUACAAUUGAUGUUUUGUAGGAUCGAAGCAUCCCUCUCCCGAGUUGUAGAAUAUUGUGUUGGGUCCUAGCCAUGAAGGAAUGGAUUUCGAUCGCAUUUCUCGAAGAUUAGAUUCUUGAGCUACUACUUAGAGUUAGAAUUAGAUUGCUAAGAAAGAUGUAUUAGCAUAAGUUUUUCAAUGAAUUGCAUUGUAAGGACAAAUUUUUCCGCAAUAAAAUAAAUUUUGAUUUUAAAUUUUAUUUAUUUAUCCUUACAAUGGCGUGUAUGAAAAAUUGAUGUUAAAAUGUUUCUAUUAUUAGCAAUAAUGGAUUUGGUUCUUAUUAUGUUAUUUAUGGAAAGUCGAGAAUUUACCAAAUAGGGAGAGUUUCUCAUCGCCCAAGUUUCAAUUGGACAUAAACUUGGAAUCAUGCAACUUGGUUGCACGAUGAAUGAGAAAUUUCAUAUUUGGAAAUUAGACUAAUUCAUUGACAAAGUGUCAAGUGAAGGACUAGGAGAUCGAGUACACAAAGUUGCGUGUUGAUCAAGUCCACCAUAAGAGUAACAAAGAUAUUCGUCAUGAUUUACUAAAGGUUUAGUAAAUAUGAUUAUACUUACAUGAUUAGGUGUAAUUCUGAAUUGUUUAAAAGGUUUAAAUCAAUAGCAGAACGAAUAAGAAGAAUCAAGUAGGCAGAAAGAUAAAAGUUUCUCCAUUCUAAGAAGAAGGGAGAGUAGCUUUUAUGCUUUAUGAUAGGUCUUAAUGAUUAAGAACCAUAUCUCAAUUGAUCCACUAAGUGAGUCUUAGUGCAAUUGUAUGUUGGAGAAGAGGAAUCAAGGAUUGAAGAAAUGGUUAAAUCAAAAAGUCAAUCAUACUUCGUUCCAAAACAAGUCGUAGAGUUAAGAUUGUGACAAUGAGUGACAAAUAUUAAGAAGGUUUAUAACAUUCAUCAAUUGUGGAAAGUUGUGAUGUCUUGGAUAAGACAAAGACCAACUAAGACCAAAGUUAUGAAGUGUUUUGUCUUGAUAAAAGCUACACUAACUCUUGAAUAUUUAUUUGUCAAGAAAUGUUUUGACAAGAGAAUCUUAUAUGUCAAGGAGUCAGUGGGAGUCUUAAUGGUAUUGAAAGGUUUCAAGAACAAAUCAAAUAAACCUUAUCAAUCAACACUAGCACACGAGUUGAGGUUUACAACCUAUCGUGUUGACAUCAUUUUGUUUCUGUGCCAAUCCAAUCGAGCUAAUUAUGCAUGUGAGUUCUAUGAGUUCUCAUUUUGAACGCAUAAAAGGCAAAGCACCUUAAUCAAUGAAAGGUACAUUGAUAGGAAAGGGUGAGUUGCUUAACUACUUGGAAGACAUGGUGGGCAGCUGUGCUACCAUAUGGAUUGUAAUGUUAAAACAAUGUACUUGAAGUGAAUAAUGUCAGUUGUAAUAUAUUGAUGCAUGGUGAUGUUUAUAUUAUGAUUCAUGUAUAUUCAUUGUGAUGAUAUUGAAUUUAAGUCACACGAGCCCUCAGAUGUUUCCUCCAUCUGGUUUGGGGGUAUGAUAGAGUCCGACUUGGAUAAAUGCUAUGAAGUGAGUUACUUGGUUUAGGGAACCAUGUUCGAUGUAGCAUAUGAAUUUAG